rnacentral:rRNA from 1 species
GACGAACGCUGGCGGCGUGCUUAACACAUGCAAGUCGAACGGAAAGGCCCUGCUUAUGUGGGGUGCUCGAGUGGCGAACGGGUGAGUAACACGUGAGUAACCUGCCCUUGACUUUGGGAUAACUUCAGGAAACUGGGGCUAAUACCGGAUAGGAGCUCCCGCUGCAUGGUGGGGGUUGGAUAGUUUCGGCGGUUGGGGAUGGACUCGCGGGUUAUCAGCUUGUUUGGUGGGUAGUGGCUGACCAAGGCUUUGACGGGUAGCCGGCCUGAGAGGGUAACCGGCCACAUUGGGCCUGAGAUACGGCCCAGACUCCUAUGGGAGGCAGCGGUGGGGAAUAUUGUACAGUGGGCGGAAGCCUGAUGCGGCAACGCCGCGUGGGGGAUGACGGCCUUCGGGUUGUGAACCGCAUCCGCCUGUGACGAAGCGUGAGUGACGGUAAUGGGAAAAGAAGCACCGGCUAACUACGUG